GAUGAACGCUGGCGGCGUGCUUAACACAUGCAAGUCGAACGGGAAUUACUUUAUUGAAACUUCGGUCGAUUUAAUUUAAUUCUAGUGGCGGACGGGUGAGUAACGCGUGGGUAACCUGCCUUAUACAGGGGGAUAACAGUCAGAAAUGGCUGCUAAUACCGCAUAAGCGCACAGAGCUGCAUGGCUCAGUGUGAAAAACUCCGGUGGUAUAAGAUGGACCCGCGUUGGAUUAGCUAGUUGGUGGGGUAACGGCCCACCAAGGCGACGAUCCAUAGCCGGCCUGAGAGGGUGAACGGCCACAUUGGGACUGAGACACGGCCCAGACUCCUACGGGAGGCAGCAGUGGGGAAUAUUGCACAAUGGGGGAAACCCUGAUGCAGCGACGCCGCGUGAAGGAAGAAGUAUCUCGGUAUGUAAACUUCUAUCAGCAGGGAAGAUAGUGACGGUACCUGACUAAGAAGCCCCGGCUAACUACGUGCCAGCAGCCGCCGUAACAC
rnacentral:rRNA from 1 species